GGUUAAGCGACUAAGCGUACACGGUGGAUGCCCUGGCAGUCAGAGGCGAUGAAGGACGUGCUAAUCUGCGAUAAGCGCCGGUAAGGUGAUAUGAACCGUUAUAACCGGCGAUUUCCGAAUGGGGAAACCCAGUGUGACUCGUCACACUAUCAUUAACUGAAUCCAUAGGUUAAUGA
rnacentral:rRNA from 1 species